GACGAACGCUGGCGGCGUGCUUAACACAUGCAAGUCGAACGGAAAGGCCCUUCGGGGUACUCGAGUGGCGAACGGGUGAGUAACACGUGGGUGAUCUGCCCUGCACUUUGGGAUAAGCCUGGGAAACUGGGUCUAAUACCGAAUAUGAUCAUCGGCUUCAUGGUCGGUGGUGGAAAGCUUUUGCGGUGUGGGAUGGGCCCGCGGCCUAGCAGCUUGUUGGUGGGGUAAUGGCCUACCAAGGCCACGACGGGUAGCCGGCCUGAGAGGGUGACCGGCCACACUGGAACUGAGACACGGGCCAGACUCCUACGGGAGGCAGCAGUGGGGAAUGUGGGACAAUGGGCGCAAGCCUGACCCAGCGACACCGCGUGGGUGAAGAAGGCCCCCGGGUGGUAAAGCCCUUUUGUGGGGAAAGAACAGCAGCAGGUUAAUACCCCGCGGGGCUGACGGUACCCAAAGAAGAAGCACCGGCUAACUUCGUG
rnacentral:rRNA from 1 species